UACAGAGGUCUCGAGCGUUAGGCGGAAUCACUGGGCUUAAAGCGUGUGUAGGUGGAUCGGUAAGUACCUUGUGAAAUCCCACAGCUUAACUGUGGAACUGCUUGGUAUACUGCCAGUCUUGAGCCAGCUAGGGGCUACCGGAACAAAUGGUGGAGCGGUGAAAUGCGUAGAUAUCAUUUGGAACGCCAAUGGUGAAAACAGGUAGCUGGGGCUGUGCUGGCACUGAGACACGAAAGCCAGGGGAGCAAACGGG
rnacentral:rRNA from 1 species